rnacentral:tRNA from 1 species
GGAGAGGUGUCCGAGUGGCCGAAGGAGCACGCUUGGAAAGCGUGUGUAGGUUCAUCCUACCGCGGGUUCGAAUCCCGCCCUCUCCG